rnacentral:lncRNA from 1 species
GCCUCCUGGGCUUGAUUGACUAUUGUCUUUCUCCUAUUAGGGAAGUUUUCAACUAUAAUCUCUUCAAAUAUUUUGUCAGUCCCUUUCUUUUACUCUUCUUCUUCUGGGACCCCUAUAAUUCUAAUGUUGGUGCAUUUAAUGUUGUCCCAGCAGUCUCUGAGACUGUCCUCAAUUCUUUUCAUUCUUUUUUCUUUAUUCUGCUCUGUGGUAGUUAUUUCCAUUAUUUUGUCUUCCAGGUCACUUAUCCGUUUUUCUGUCUCAGUUAUUCUGCUAUUGAGUCCGUGUAGAAAAUUUUAAAUUUCAUUUAUUGUGUUGUUCAUCAUUGUUUGUUUGCUCUUUAGUUCUUCAAGGUCUUAUUAAACGUUUCUUGUGUUUUCUCCAUUCUAUUUCCAAGAUUUUGGAUCAUCUUUACUAUCAUUAUGUGAAUUCUUUUUCAGAUAGACUGCCUAUUUCCUCUUCAUUUGUUUGAUCUGGUGGAUUUUCACCUUUCUCCUUCAUCUGCUGUGUAUUUCUCUGUCUUCUCAUUUUGCUUAACUUACUGUGUUUGGGGUCUCCUUUUCAGAGGCUGCAGGUUUGUAGUUGCAGUUGUUUUGGGGGUCUGCCCCCAGUGGGUGAGGUUGGUUCAGUAGGUUGUGUAGGCUUCCUGGUGGAGGGGACUAGUGCCUGUGUUCUGGUGCAUGAGGUUGGAUCUCAUGUUUCUUGUGGGCAGGACUGCAUCCGGUGGUGUGUUUUGGGUAUCUGUGAACUUAUUAUGAUUUUAGGUAGCCUCUCUGCUAAUGGGUGGGGUUGUGUUUCUGUCUUGCUAGUUGUUUAGCAUGGGGUGUCCUUCACUGGAGCUUGCUGGUCAUUGAGUGGAGCUGGGUCUUAGCGUUGAGACAGAGAUCUCUCAGAGAGCUCUCGCUGACUGAUAUUACAUGUGGCCAGGAGGUCUCUGGUGGUCCAAUGUCCUGAAUUCGUCUCUCCCACCUCAGAGACUCAGGCCUGACACCCGGCCAGAGCGCCAAGACCCUGUCAGCCACUGCUCAGAAGAAAAGGGAGAAAAGAAAAAAGAAAGGAAGAAAGAAUAAUAAAAUAAAUAGUUAUUAAAAUAAAAAAAAUUUUUUAAGUAAUAAAAUAAAAGAAGAGAGCAACUAAACCAAUAAACAAAUCCACCAAUGAUAAUAAGCGCUAAAAACUAUGCUAAAAAGUAAUUGACAGACAGAACCCUAGGACAAAUGUUAAAAGCAAAUGUAUACAGACAAAAUCACACAAAGAAGUAUACACA